rnacentral:rRNA from 1 species
ACAUUGUUUGCAGGCUCAGAUCCUGAUGACACAGAGCACGACGAAUUGGAAGACUCAAGUCACAAUACCUAUGUCGACCAUGAUCCAUUGGACUAUGUCUACUCAAACCUCCCAGACCACACACACAUCCUGAAGCACGCCGCAAAUUGCGAUCACUGCAAGGCCAAGAAGUUUGUGUCUGAGGCCCCAGGAUUCUGCUGUCGCAGUGGGCAGAUCCAGCUGAAGCAACCGGAGCCCAUCCCGGAGCUAAUGAGGCUUUGGUCUAGCAUGGAUGCGGACUCAAGGCAUUUUUGGGAGAACAUACGGUUCUUCAACGGCCACUUCUCCUUCACAACCCUCGGCGUCAGCCUUGAUGAAAGCUACACAAACAUGAAGUCUGGGGUGUACACGUUCCGGGCGCACGGCACCAUCUACCACAACGUUCAUUCCUUCGGGCCAACAUCACGUCCAGAUCAUCUACAGUUGUACUUCUACGACGACGACCCAUGCCUAACCCAUCGCAAGGCUGCCACCGAGCAAUUAGACCAAGAUGUCGUCAGAAAGUUAGUGGACAUACUCAGGGAAAACCCGUAA